UGGUUUAUUCCGAUAACGAGCGAGAUUUCUUGAUUCGGUGGUUGGUGGUGCAUGGCCGUUCUUAGUUGGUGGAGUGAUUUGUCUGGUUUAUUCCGAUAACGAGCGAGACUCUAGCCUACUAAAUAGUCGGCAAAUAACUCGUGAAAUGUUUGUGCGACUUCUUAGAGGGACAAGCGGUGUUCAGCCGCAUGAAGUUGAGCAAUAACAGGUCUGUGAAGAUACAUAAAGACAACA
rnacentral:ncRNA from 1 species